rnacentral:rRNA from 1 species
GAUGAACGCUGGCGGCGUGCCUAAUACAUGCAAGUCGAGCGAACAGACGAGGAGCUUGCUCCUCUGACGUUAGCGGCGGACGGGUGAGUAACACGUGGAUAACCUACCUAUAAGACUGGGAUAACUUCGGGAAACCGGAGCUAAUACCGGAUAAUAUAUUGAACCGCAUGGUUCAAUAGUGAAAGACGGUUUUGCUGUCACUUAUAGAUGGAUCCGCGCCGCAUUAGCUAGUUGGUAAGGUAACGGCUUACCAAGGCAACGAUGCGUAGCCGACCUGAGAGUGGGAUCGGCCACAGUGACACGAGAACAGGGUCAAGACCCGUACGGGGGGAGGGAGUGGGGAAUCUUCCGAAAGGGGCAAAAGCCGGACGGAGCAACACGGGGUGAGGGAGAAGGGUCUUCGGAUCUAAAAAUUGUGUUAUGAGGGAAAAAAAAAUGUGUAAGUAACUAUGCACGUCUUGACGGUCCCUAAUAAGAAACCCACGGCUAACUCGGUG